UACAGAGGUCUCAAGCGUUGUUCGGAUUCAUUGGGCGUAAAGGGUGCGUAGGCGGCGCGGUAAGUCGGGUGUGAAAUUUCGGAGCUUAACUCCGAAACUGCAUUCGAUACUGCCGUGCUUGAGGACUGGAGAGGAGACUGGAAUUUACGGUGUAGCGGUGAAAUGCGCAGAUAUCAGGAGGAACACCGGUGGCGAAGGCGGGGUCUCUGGGGCCGAUACUGACGCUGAGGAGCGAAAGCAUGGGUAGCGAACAGG
rnacentral:rRNA from 1 species